rnacentral:rRNA from 1 species
AGCUUGCUACCUGACCUAGCGGCGGACGGGUGAGUAAUGCUUAGGAAUCUGCCUAUUAGUGGGGGACAACAUUCCGAAAGGAAUGCUAAUACCGCAUACGCCCUACGGGGGAAAGCAGGGGAUCUUCGGACCUUGCGCUAAUAGAUGAGCCUAAGUCAGAUUAGCUAGUUGGUGGGGUAAAGGCCUACCAAGGCGACGAUCUGUAGCGGGUCUGAGAGGAUGAUCCGCCACACUGGGACUGAGACACGGCCCAGACUCCUACGGGAGGCAGCAGUGGGGAAUAUUGGACAAUGGGCGAAAGCCUGAUCCAGCCAUGCCGCGUGUGUGAAGAAGGCCUUUUGGUUGUAAAGCACUUUAAGCGAGGAGGAGGCUACUUGGAUUAAUACUCUAGGAUAGUGGACGUUACUCGCAGAAUAAGCACCGGCUAACUCUGUGCCAGCAGCCGCGGUAGUACAGAGGGUGCGAGCGUUAAUCGGAUUUACUGGGCGUAAAGCGUGCGUAGGCGGCUUUUUAAGUCGGAUGUGAAAUCCCUGAGCUUAACUUAGGAAUUGCAUUCGAUACUGGGAAGCUAGAGUAUGGGAGAGGAUGGUAGAAUUCCAGGUGUAGCGGUGAAAUGCGUAGAGAUCUGGAGGAAUACCGAUGGCGAAGGCAGCCAUCUGGCCUAAUACUGACGCUGAGGUACGAAAGCAUGGGGAGCAAACAGGAUUAGAUACCCUGGUAGUCCAUGCCGUAAACGAUGUCUACUAGCCGUUGGGGCCUUUGAGGCUUUAGUGGCGCAGCUAACGCGAUAAGUAGACCGCCUGGGGAGUACGGUCGCAAGACUAAAACUCAAAUGAAUUGACGGGGGCCCGCACAAGCGGUGGAGCAUGUGGUUUAAUUCGAUGCAACGCGAAGAACCUUACCUGGUCUUGACAUAGUAAGAACUUUCCAGAGAUGGAUUGGUGCCUUCGGGAACUUACAUACAGGUGCUGCAUGGCUGUCGUCAGCUCGUGUCGUGAGAUGUUGGGUUAAGUCCCGCAACGAGCGCAACCCUUUUCCUUAUUUGCCAGCGGGUUAAGCCGGGAACUUUAAGGAUACUGCCAGUGACAAACUGGAGGAAGGCGGGGACGACGUCAAGUCAUCAUGGCCCUUACGACCAGGGCUACACACGUGCUACAAUGGUCGGUACAAAGGGUUGCUACCUAGCGAUAGGAUGCUAAUCUCAAAAAGCCGAUCGUAGUCCGGAUUGGAGUCUGCAACUCGACUCCAUGAAGUCG